UACGUAGGGGGCAAGCGUUGUCCGGAUUUAUUGGGCGUAAAGAGCGUGUAGGCGGCCAUGCAGGUCCGCUGUGAAAACUGGAGGCUUAACCUCCAGACGUCGGUGGAAACCACCUGGCUAGAGUCCGGAAGAGGAGUGUGGAAUUCCCGGUGUAGCGGUGAAAUGCGCAGAUAUCGGGAAGAACACCCGUGGCGAAGGCGGCUCUCUGGGACGGUACUGACGCUGAGACGCGAAAGCGUGGGGAGCGAACAGG
rnacentral:rRNA from 1 species